rnacentral:rRNA from 1 species
GCUUGCUGCAUGCUUUAUACAUGCAAGUCGAACGAAGGCCCUAGCUUGCUAGGUGUCCUUAGUGGCGCACGGGUGAGUAACACGUGGGAACAUACCUUAUAGUACGGAAUAACUGCGGGAAACUGUAGCUAAUACCGUAUAUUCCAGUAAUGGGAAAGAUUUAUCGCUAUAAGAUUGGCCCGCGCAAGAUUAGCUUGUUGGUGAGGUAAAAGCUCACCAAGGCUUCGAUCUUUAGCUGGUUUGAGAGGAUGAUCAGCCACACUGGGACUGAGACACGGCCCAGACUCCUACGGGAGGCAGCAGUAGGGAAUAUUGGACAAUGGGGGCAACCCUGAUCCAGCAAUGCAGCGUGAGUGACGAAGGCCUUAGGGUUGUAAAACUCUUUCAUCGGUGAGGAUAAUGACAGUAGCCGAAGAAGAAGGACCGGCUAAUUCCGUGCCAGCAGCCGCGGUAAUACGGAAGGUCCUAGCGUUGUUCGGAAUUACUGGGCGUAAAGCGCAUGUAGGCGGAACAGAAAGUUAGAAGUGAAAUCCCUGGGCUCAACCUAGGAAUUGCUUUUAAAACUUCUGUUCUGGAAUUCAGGAGAGGAAAAUGGAAUUUCCAGUGUAGAGGUGAAAUUCGUAGAUAUUGGAAGGAACACCAGUGGCGAAGGCGAUUUUCUGGACUGAUAUUGACGCUGAGAUGCGAAGGCAUGGGUAGCAAACGGGAUUAGAUACCCCGGUAGUCCAUGCAGUAAACGAUGGGUGCUAGUCGUCGGACUUUUGUUCGGUGUCGUAGCUAACGCGUUAAGCACCCCGCCUGGGGAGUACG